CCAUGUGAAUCACAGGAGGGCGGCACAGUGUGCACUGGGAGGGAAGGCCAUGGAGUUCCUGCUGAACCACUCAACAGCUUAAAAUACAACCAGCCCCUCUCCCUACUGGGCCAGCUGCCGGGGAGGGCUGAAAUCCUAGCCUCUCCCCCAGCUGGGGCACUGCAGCCAGGCCAGGAGCCGUGGUGCACCAACUGGUGGGCAGCAGGAGAGCGCGUGGAGAGGGGCCACGGUGAAGAGCAAUCCCAAGCCACAAGCUGAGGGACUGCCUGCAGCAGAGGAAGACUCGGGCAAGCCAGGAAGCUUAAGGAAGCCAGAGACCCUGAGGAUGAACUGACUAGAGGUGUUCGACGGCCACUGUCCGUUAUGCCCGCCCCUGGCUCCACCCAAGCCGGCAGGCAGAAAUUGGUUCUCUCCUGCCACCUUGUGGGGUGAAAGGAUCAAAUUCAGGUAGGCCUCAAAGACGCAUCUCUACCUGAUGAACUGUCUCACUACCUCCGAGGCUUCUGAGACGGGAGGUUUCCCAGUGGACAGAGGUGCAAGAGGGCAAAGGAUCGACUCAGUCCUUCAAAGGAUCUCUAGCCCCAGUUGGCAUCAAACUCACUAUGUAGUUGAAGAUAACCUUGCAUCCUUCUGCCUCCAUGUCCCAAGACCUGGAACUACAGGCGUGUACCAGCUUGCUUGCCGGGUUUUCCUCAGGGCCAGGGAUCCGACCCAGGUUAGGAAAGUGCUCUACCAAAUGAGCUCCACCCCUAUUCCCCAGUUUGGUUCUUCCCUGCCUUUGUGCUGCUGUGGAACCCAGAGCCUCCGAGCCGCGUGUGUGCACACUUGUGCAUACAACUGCUCUGCCGGAGGAACUACCAUCAGCCCAUCGAGGCACUGGGAGAAAUCAGGCUCUGAAAUAAACCAGAUCAAGUUUUCCAGGCCAAACUGUGAGCCUCAGGCUGUGUUCACACUCCUUGAAACAAAGCACCCGCCCCAAGUCUCAGAAGCCUACCUGGCCUGAUUUUCUACUAGCAAAUUAAAAUGAUUGGCUGCAAACUCCAUCAUCCGCCUGUACUUCUCAAACUGAACAUGGCUUUUCCCCCAGAGCAAGAGAGGGGGUGGGAAAGGAAAAACACCCCAGGGAACAAACCUCCUUUUGAAAGCACAGAGUUGAUGGGGCGUAAGGAUUGCAGACUCCCAUCUCUGGUCCUCUGGCAUCAUGUUAAAAAAAAAAAAAGAAAAAAGACUGGGGAUUUCAAGAUUCAUUUCACAGGCCCUGGGAAAACUACCAACAAUAAUCAUGAUACAGAAGAUGAAUAGCAAUAUUAGUAUUCAACUUGUGAUAAAAAAAAAUAGGAUUAUUUCCUAUGUAUUGGAGGUUCCUGAAGUAUGCCAAUUUCCAGAGACAAGUGGUGGUUGCCAGGGGCUGGGGGAGGAGGGAAUGGGGAGAUACUGUACACUGCUGUACAGCUUCAGUUUUACAAGAUCAAAGAGAGUUUAGAGUACUUGCCUAGCAGGAGAAAAGCCCUGAGUUCUAAGCCUAGCACUACAAACUGAGGGAGCAGGCAGGGAAGGGGAAAAAAAAAAAAAACAAAAAAAACCCUAACCUAAGGCUAGGCUGAGGUUGACUAAAUUCAUCACAAAUUUAAGAUCUGAGGGGAGAAAUACACACAACUCUCAGCUUGGCAGCUUUCAUUUACCCGGAACCGCACUGCUAGUGGUUAGAAACUAUGCCUUUGAAAAGAAAUCUGCAUUUCCUUUCUGUUCUGCAAUUACUAGCAGGGACCUUCCAACAACUCACUGGACAUCUCUGACUUUCACCUACAUAGUAACAAACUACAAAUCCCUCCGCAGAGGACUAUGAGUCUGAGGACAUAACAAAACCUCAGUAAUACGGUAGUUAGCCCUGACUAAUGUAUUCUUACUAUGAAUGUGAGCAGUGAGUUACUGUUUUAUGAUGAUUACUUAAAAGUCAGCAACAACGAAAUUAGUAUCAUCAGGUCGAGAAGAGCAUUAGAAGAUUUGGUUUUAAGAGGAAAGGUGACCCAAGAUACAGUCAGAAGACAUGAGCUUCCAGAAUGGUCUUGCGCAUUCAGAUUUCUUCCCUGGCGGUCACGGGCUGGCGUGACCCUGGAACCAACUCCCUCGCCGCCCAGGCAUCUUGGCGAGGUGGGUGCGAAGGUCGGAAGAGGCAGGCUGGCUGCAGAGCCCCUCCUGAGCCCGAGGCGCUGACAACGUGCAAGGAUUGUGCAAGAGAAUCGUUCGUACCAAAACCAAGUGCUCCGCACCGCACUCCUCCUGAACACCUGCCACUCAGGCCAUCAAGGAUGCUGCAAGGAAGCUGCAAGCUUCUCCUAGGCCCUGCAAGACCCUAAGAAAAGGCAUCCCCAAACAACCUGGGUGGCAGGUUUAUAAAUACCCCCCUGCACAUGCGCAAUGAGACUACACUGCGCCUGCGCCAUGGCGGAGAGUCAGACCAUAAAAAAAGGUUCCGAGGCCCUGCAGGACACUUGCGGUCUGCGGUAAUCAUGGCCCAGGGCCCCGCGCUGCUUACCUCGUAGUGCUUCAUGGUUCUUCCACAGGAUGGCACCUGCUCUGCUGCAACUGAGUGGCCGCCGUACCGCACCAAACACCACCCAGCUCCACACACACUCGGGGAGCAGCACUCCCGGACUCCGGCUCCGCCCCCCUCUAUGCGUGCGUCCCUCCUGCCAAUCAGCGUGGGGUGCACCCACUGCUCGCGCCACACAACUGACCAAUCAGAUUUCUCGAUCCAAGGAGCGCAGCGGACCCCCUCCCCCCCACUUUGGCAAGCAAGAUUAAAACCCGGCCACCCACCAAUCAAAAGGAAGCCUGGGCGCCGCGCGCCCUCUGGCUCCGCCCAUUGCAGUGUUGCGGUGGAAAUCCAGCGACGUCAGGCUGAGGGGUCAAUGCGGCAAAACGAGAACAAAGAGCUGCGUGGCCCGGAGAGCCAGGCUUGGGGUGAAUUCGUAGAUGUAGAGAAGCUCAUCUAAGAGAUGAGACCUCAGAUUAUCAUCCAUCACCAGGACCCUUGAAAGGACUCCAGAUAUCACGAAUGGAGAAAGGAAAAGAAAACCUGCACCGCAUUCUACAGGUGCCCCUCCUAAAACAGCUCCUGUCAGUUGAGCUGGCCCUAGAAGCAAAACCACCUUUGUCUCUGCCUGCGUUAUCGUGUACAGUUUGGUUACUACUGGCCACAUGUAGCUACUGAGCCCUUGAAAUAUACAGGAAAAAAAUGACAGGUGCUGCCAGUCUAAAAAUACAGGACAUCAGAGAACAGUGCAGAGAAAGACGACAUUACAGGGGCUGGUGAGAUGGCUCAGUGGGUAAGAGCACCAACUACUCUUCCAAAGGUACUGAGUUCAAAUCCCAACAACCACAUGGUGGCUCACAACCACCCAUAAUGAGAUCUGAUGCCCUCUUCUGGUGCGUUUGAAGACAGCUACAGUGAACUUAUUUUAAUAAAUAAAUCUUUGGACCGGAGCAAGUGGGGUUGGCCAGAGCAAGCAGAGGUGUAGAGGUCCUAAAUUCAAUUCCCAACAAUCACAUUAAGGUUCACAACCAUCUGUACAACUACAGUGUGUACUCAUAUAUAUAGAAUAAAUAAAUCUUAAAAAAAAAAAGACAUUACAAAUGAAGGCAUUUGGUAUCCUACCUAAUGGGCUCAAUUCAAUCCCAGGGACCCACAUAAUGUAAGGCCGGAACAGAGACACCAUGGCACAUGUGCAAGCACACAUAUACACACACUCUCAUAAGUAAAUAUAAAAUGUUAAAAGCCUAGUGCAGCCAGAUUCUGCUUGCUGUAGUCUGCAGCCUGAAUAUAUAUAUGUAUAUACUGCAGGAAUAAAUGUUCAGACAUGGCAUUUAGGGUUAGUUUAAUAAUAUUAUAUAACAGGCCCAAUAAAAUUGUAGACUUUCUUGCCAGAAAAAGGGGGGAGGGGCUGUGGAUCAGAACAGACGUUUUCAGUAGAAGAAAUACAAAUGGCUAACAUAUAUCUCAAAGUAUUCAUCAUUCUUUAGAGUUAGAGAAACAGAAAUUAAACUUUGAGGCUUCAUCUCAUCUCUGUCAGAAUGGAUAAAACCAAUAAAACAACCAUUAACAAAUUCUAGAGGGCGUGUAGGGAAAGGUAACCCCUUGUUCACUGCUGGGAGGAUUGCAAACUGGUGUAGCCACUAUGGAAAUAAGUUUGAGAAUUCUCAAAAAGCCAAAAAAAUAAACCAUAUAAUCCAGCUAUACUGCUCCUUGGCAUAUGACCAAAGGACUUCUCACUCCACAGAUACUUGCUCAGCCAUGUUGGCUGCCAUACACAGUAGCUAGGAAAUACAACGUACGUAAACAUUCUCUGAUCGACGGCUGGCUAAUGGCAGUGUGGUACAUAUACUCUGUGCAAUACUAUUUUGCUGUAAAGAAAACUGAAAUUGUGAACUGUCAGGGUUCCACCCUGACACUCAGGUACCGAUGUGGGGCGCAGAGCAGAGGAGAAUGCCCUCUGGUCACUAACCCUCUUUUACUGUUCUGGGGACCAGGACUGGUGGCUUCUGGCAAGUGACUCCUGCUGAUAGCAGUAGGAGAUUAGGAAAAGAAAUGGAAUUACUUGGACUCUUUAU
rnacentral:lncRNA from 1 species